rnacentral:lncRNA from 12 species
CCCACACAGAGCUGAGAUUUGCCUGGAAUAAGCAGCGAUGCCUGAAAUAAAUCUGAGCAGACAUGAGCAGCAGUGAUUGCCAAGGGAGAGAAAGGCACUUUGCCUUUCAUUUGGUGUUUGGUGUGAGCUGCAGUCAGUUCGUGUUGGGAGGGCAGUUUCAGUCCUUGUUUUCCAAGAAGUGGACAAAACCUGGACACUCCUCACUGCAGGAUUCCCACCAGCACCGUGCCAGGGCAGCAGAUCCUCACUGGAGAUGAGUGCCCUGAUCCACUUCCCCACAUUCG